rnacentral:rRNA from 1 species
GGUUGAUCCUGCCAGUGGUCAUAUGCUGUUUCAGAAGAUUAAGCCAUGCAAGUGUAAGUUCAUUCCCUUUCAGGGUUGAAACUGCGAAUAGCUCAGUAAACUCUCUGCAAAUGUCGCACAUCAUAAUGUCGCAUAUUUGCGGAAAAACUGCAAUCAAAACGGGGGUCGAAUUUGACCUAUAGAAUUGAGCGUGCCCAGGGCUUUUGUUGGGCAUACGGGGACGAACACGUGAAUACUAUGAAUCGAAUUUUGAGAGUGUGCGAGUGCUUAGGACUUAUCAGCUUUGAUGGUAU